CUUCGCCUCUCGGUUAGCAAGCGAUGAGGCACGCCCCUCCACAGGCGGGACUGCGCGGAGUCGUCGCGCCUCGGCUGCGAGUCAGGACUGAGGCUGUCCCCCUCCCGCCUCCCUCAGGGGCCCUGGCGCGGGUGCCUCCAGGUUCCACCCCUCACCUGCCCCUUGGUGUCGGGCCGGGACCCUGGAGAGGUCGUGAGGGAGUCCUGGGCGCGGGCUCCGGGAGGCUGCGGCGCGGGUCUGAGGUAAACGGCCCGGCCGCUGCGGGCCCUUGCGGGGGCUGGUUCCAGCAGCAACCGCCGGGCAGGGCCCCUCCCGACCGCGACCUCCUGUCCGCACCGUAGGGCAGCCGGCCGGGCCAGCCUCCCUCACAGGACUACCGAGGAAGAGGUAGGAUUUCACUCUGUCACCCAGGCGGGAGUGCAGUGGUGCGAUCAUAGCGGGGACUACAAGUGUGCACCACAUGCUUGUCUACGAACCUGAAGUAUUCUGAUGCAGUGGAGAGAGUGUAGAACUCUGGAGUGAAGAGAUCUGCCUGGAACCCUGACUCUAUCACUAGGAGAUUCCUUGGAAUGAAACCAAUGGGAGUCCAGGGUUUGGGAGAGUCUCAUCAGAGCAGAUGGGCGAGCAGCAGCCAGAACGCUUGUUGCCUUUGGCUGAGAACACUAUCCUGGAUCUGAAUGUCUUAUCAGGACCUGAAGUAGGUGGCUGCCCAUCCAGGUAUUCUACAGGCACUUGCCCGUGAAACCUUCACCACUCCUUGAAUCUGGUUCUGCAAAGUGGGACAGCUGAGACUUAGGCUAAGUGACUUACUGAGGCAGCAGUCAGCACCGUGUGGGACCAGCCCCCAUGCUGUUUCCCAAAUGGAGGCACCUUCCUGCAUACCUUGGGCGUGAUCUGUAACAGCUCAGAAAGCUUGGACACCAGCAGGGUGGCACCUAUAUGGGGAGCACCUGUCCGCACUGACUGCAUUCAAUAAGCGUUCAUUUCAUCACCCUUCACCAUGAGUCUCCCUCUGUAGUCCAGGCUGCAGUGUAGUGGCGUGAUCUCAGUUCAGUGCAAUCUCUGCCUUCUGGCUUCAAGCGAUUCUCCUGCCUCAGGCUCCCGUGUAGCUGGGAUUACAGCUUUGUCACUCCAAGAGAUGGCCCUGGGACUGAGAAGUGGAUGGCAGCUGUGACAGCAGGAGAGGACUGCCUGAGGCUCCCCGGGCAGAGGCUCUGGUGCCAGGUUAGCAGCAGGACCGACGGCAGACCCAGCAGCCAGAGAGUGAAAGUUUUGAUUCUGGCAAGACCAGACUACACUCCCCUCUACCUGGCAGAAACCCUACCCAUCCUUCAAGUCCAGGAUAGAGAUCUCAAAGAAGUUUCCUACCGAAGUGCAGCAGAUCCCCACCACAUCUGGGCCCCUCGGGGGCAGGGCUUUCCUACAUCCAUCUCUGCAUUGCCAGCUCCGAGACAGGGACACUCAGAAGGUGCAAGGAGGCCGGGCGCAGUGGCUCACACCUGUAAUCCCAGCACUUUGGGAGGCCGAGGCAGGCGGAUCACGAGGUGGGUAAAUUGAGGCCCAAGGAGAGGAAUGGACUUGCUGUGGACAUUCCAAGAGCCCAGAGGCAACUCAGGCCAAGGCGAGUCUGUCUGUUCUGAAUCUCUUAGGUCAGUUCUGAAUCCAAACAGUAACCGGACAAGCCCAUUCUCAGGAGCUCCUCAGCUCCAUUCCGUGGGGGCUUGGUUACCUGUAACAGGGCCUCAACAGGAGGGUCAUAGACUUGCCCAUUGCUUCCAAGCAACAGGGAGUUGGCAUUGCCCUGCCUCCUGUGGGACUCGCAAACAUAAAAUCUCAGGCUCUCUCAUUCUCACAUCUACAUUACAUAGCACUGACUCUGUGCCGGACACUGUUCUUAGUGCUUUGCAAAUAGUAAUUUAUAUAGUCCUCAUUGACUGGGAAGCUAUAUUAAUUUUGACAUUAUUCCUGAGAAAAGCAUAUCCCUUCCUGGGUUCUGGCCCUGUUAACAGGAAUGUUUUAAAACUUUAAAAAAAAAAAAAAAAAAAAAAAAAA
rnacentral:lncRNA from 1 species